rnacentral:rRNA from 1 species
UAAUACGGAAGGUGCAAGCGUUGUUCGGAAUCACUGGGCUUAAAGAGCGUGUAGGCGGGAUGGUAGGUGCUUUGUGAAAUCCCUCGGCUCAACCGAGGAAUGGCUGGGCAAACCUCCAUUCUUGAGGCAGGUAGAGGCGACUGGAACCUUUGGUGGAGCGGUGAAAUGCGUAGAGAUCAAAGGGAACACCGGUGGCGAAAGCGAGUCGCUGGGCCUGUCCUGACGCUGAGACGCGAAAGCGUGGGUAGCGAACAGGAUUAGAUACCCUGGUAGUCCACGCCGUAAACGAUGCGCACUAGGUACGGGGUUCUCUGACGGAGUCCGUGCCGAAGCAAAAGCGAUAAGUGCGCCGCCUGGGGAGUACGGCCGCAAGGCUA